CAAAAACAUGUCCUCUUGAUUAUAUUUUGAGGUCUGGCCUGCUCACUGAUAAAUUUAAAGAGCCGCGGUAUUUUGACCGUGCAAAGGUAGCAUAAUCAUUAGUCUUUUAAUUAAGGGCUGGAAUGAAUGGCUUGACGAGAAAUUAACUGUCUCUUAAUAAUUUAUAAAAUUUAACUUUUGAGUCAAAAGGCUUAAAUUUUUCUUUAGGACGAGAAGACCCUAUAGAGCUUAACAUAUAAUUUAUAUUUAUACAUUAGAUGAUUUUUAUAUGUUUAAUGAUAAUGUUUUGUUGGGGUGACAUGAAGAAUUAAUAAACUCUUCAUUAUAAAAUCAUUAAUUUAUGUUUAUUUUUGAUCCAUAAUUUAUGAUCAUAAGAUUAAGUUACCUUAGGGAUAACAGCGUAAUUGUUUUUGAGAGCUCAAAUCAACAAAGCAGAUUGCGACCUCGAUGUUGGAUUAAGAAAAAUUUUGGGUGC
rnacentral:rRNA from 1 species